rnacentral:lncRNA from 1 species
UCCAUUCUCGGCACCCUACUGUUUACAUUAUUUAUAAAUGAUCUGCCUAAUGUCUGCAAAUCCUCAAAUGUACACAUGUACGCAGACGACACAGUAAUCUAUGCGAGCAAAUCCGAUCUACCGCAGCUUGAGGCUGUGCUCCAAGACCAGUUUACAGAGGUAGAAAAGUGGAUCGCAAAAAAACAAACUCUUCCUAAACACUGACAAAACUGUCACAAUGAUCUUUGGAACAGUAC